AAAAAUAUUCUGUUUCCACAUUUGCCACAAGGGAGUAUUAUGAAAUCUCUGCCCCCAGGAACUUCCCGAAAGUCAUUUCUCAUGUCCAUUGUUUGGCUAUGUCUUAUACUAAGUAAGAUAAAUGAGGUAUUGAGAUCCAGAUAACAAAAUAAAUAAAUACCAAAAAAAACCCUCAAAAAUUCUUAGGAACAAUUAAAUGAGUGUAUCAGGCAAGACUGAUUUUUUACUUUAAUAUAAUCCAAUUGACUAAAUUUUAGGCCUCAAUUCUUUGCUUUGUUUUUCAGUUGGUGACAGAGAUUUUGAAUGUCCUAGGAAAGCUUUGGUCACUAUUCCAACUAUCUGUCAUCAGAGAGGCCUCUGUAAUUGUGUCUUCUCUAUGCCUCCUGGUGCCAUAUCCACCAGAGAUUUUAGUGCACACAGAAGAAUAUGCCAUAGAAUCCUUCAGUUGUCUCAAAUUUCCUUUUCACUCAUUAGUGGAAGUUAACUACAUCAUAUUUUUAAUACAACUGAUAAUUUGACCUGUAAGUUAUAUACAAAAUUUUAUUAAUUCAUGGACAUUUCUUUAAAUAUGUUCAACUAAAUUUUGAAUAGAUUUGCCUCAUUACAAUGCAAAAAAGAAAAAUGUGACUAAAUGAAUUAUUUGAAGUUAAUCUCUGUUUUCUUUUAACAUGUUGAGUUCUGAAAAUGGAGACAUUCAGACAUAAUUUAGUUACAUGAAAUACUAAUAACACUGCGUUUGAAGCAGUUAAAAAUACAUUAAGGGAGUUCCCAUCAUGGCUCAGUGGUUAACAAAUCUGACUAGGAACCAUGAGGUUGUGGGUUUGAUCCCUGGCCUUGCUCAGUGGGUUAAGGAUCCAGAGUUGCCAUGAGCUGUAGUGUAGGUCACAGACGAGGCUUGGAUCUGGCGUUGCUGUGGCUGUGGUGUAGGCUGGCGGCUACAGCUCGGAUAGAUCCCUAGCCCGGGAACCUCCAUAUGCUGCAGGUGCAGCCCUAAAAAAGACAAAAAAAAAAAAAAUACAUUACAGUUACAGUUGUACAGAAACUGUUUUAUAAAAUUACAAUGCAAAUGCAAUCAUACAUUCUUAUGAUGGAAGCCUAGAAGAAAUGGUUUGGGCCUGGAAAAAUAAUAUCUACAAUUUUGAUAAAUAUGACUUUUUUAGGAGUUCUCUUAUGGUGCAAUGGGUUGGGGAUCCAGCACUGUCACUGCAGCAGCUUGGGUUGCUUCUAUGGUGUGGGUUUGAUCCCAGGCUGGGGAACUUCCACAUGCCACGGUGCAGCCAGGAAAAAAAAAAAAAAAAGAGUACAUUUUCCACCUUUCAGUUCUUGGUGCAAAAUUAGGGUCCAUAUUCAGCUCACUCCAUCUGCCAUAGUUUGCCAAAGGAUUGAAUAAAUGAAAAGAAAAUGUGAUCAUUAAUGUGAACAAUGGUAACAAUUUCAAUGAGGUAUCAGUGUGUUAUUAUCCAGCUUUUAAUAAGUUCAUCUUUUUAAUUAAGCUGUUUAUAUAUGAGAUUAUCCUUUGGAAAAAUAUGUAUAUCAACAGGUAGUUCAAACAGAGGGCCAUGGGAGUUAUCGUUAGUUAUUAGACUACUUUGGAAUGUCAACUUUUUGGAAAAACUAUAAACAAAGGAAAAUAAAUAACUCAAUGUCUUCCAUUAAGCUAUAGGGCUAUAAAUCUGCACAUAAUCAUCUAAAAUAAUUGUGAGCAAAGACUUGACUACAUUAUGACAAUUAGAAAGUGCUUUAAAAUGUGGAAUCAAAAAAAAAUGUAGAAUCAGACAAUGUUGACAGCUGCUUCACAUGAACUAUUAAGACACUUAAGGUGCAAGUAUUCCCAAAAGAAGAAUUAAUAUUCUGUGAAUAGCAUGAAAAGAUGGAAGCUCUCUGAACUACCUGAAGUGUUCAAGCUGGAUUUAGCCUUUCUGGGUUUAACUAUGUCUGCAAAAGCAAAGUAAAGUGGAGAAGUAAAGCAAUUAUCCUGAUUAACCAAGCAAAAAAUAAUUCUCUGCAAGUCAGAAACAAGCAAUUAUUUUUAGAGCCACACCUGCCUCACAUGGAGGUUCCCUAGUUAGGAACUGAAUCAGAGCUACAGCUGCCAGCCUACGUCACAGGUACAGCAACAUGGGAUCCCAGCCACAUAUCCAAAGUACACAACAGCUCACAUCAACACCAGAUCUUUAACCCACUGCUCAAGGCCAGGGAUCAAACCUGCAUCCUCAGAGAUAUUAGUUGGGUUUGUUACUGCUGAGUCACAAUGGGAACUCACAGAAACAAGUAAUUGUUAAAGCAUAAAUUAUACAGAUUGACUAUACUAUCUAUGUUGACCACAAUCACCAAAUAAAACUAUGCUACUUUGUUUAUAGAGUCAGCCAAAAAGGUAAUAUCACGAAGUAAAUCUGAUCUUAAACUUUAACUGAAUUUAUCUCCCUUAAGAACAUGAUGCUAAUAAAAAUGUUUAUUCUAGAAAACCAAGUACAUAUUGAAAUAUGAUGAAAAAUGAAAAAAUUCCAAUAUUUUGAAAUGAGAAUGCUAACCCUGUUGACCACAUAGUGUUCUUAAGCACCCUGGACCAGGCCAGGUGGGGAGGGGAUGAAAGCUGGAUCACACAUAAUCCAGCAAUGCAUAUCUCACUUCUAACUCAGAGACCUCAUACAUGCAUAGAGGAACCUGACCAAAAAAAUUCCAGAGAAAUGAGUAGACAAAUCAAUUUGAGCUUUUAGUAGGUGACAUUAAAACUAAAUGAGUGGGACUUCCCUUGUGGCCUACAAGUUGACUACAUGAUGUUCUCACUGUCAUGGCUCUGAUUCAAUCACUGGCCCUGGAACCAGCUUCCAUAUCCUGUGGAUAUAACCAACCAAUAAAUAAAUAAAUAAAUAAAUAAAUAAAUGAGUGGUAAAAAAUAACCCAAUAAAAAAUAGGUUGAGGAAGAUCUAAAUAGAGAUUUCUCCAAAGAUGACAUAUUGAUGGCCAACGGACACAGGAAAAGAUGUUCAACCUUGCUAAUUUUUAGAGAAAUGCAAAAACUACAGUGAGAUAUCACUUCACACAAUCAGAAUGCCCAUCACCAAAAAAAUCUACAAAUAAUAAAUGCUGGAGAGGUUGCAGAGGAAAGGGAACCCUCCUACACUCUUGGUGGUAAUAUAAAUUGGUGCAACCACUAUGAAGAACAGUAUGGAGGUCCUUAAAAAGCAAAAAUAGAGUUAUCAUAUGAUCCAACAAUCCCACUCGUGAGCAUAUAUCUAGAAAAGGUGAAAACUCUAAUUCAAAAAGAAACAUGCACCCAAAUUCAUGGCAGGACUAUUUAUAAUAGCUAAGACAUGGAAGCAAC
rnacentral:lncRNA from 1 species